rnacentral:rRNA from 1 species
UACGUAGGGUCCGAGCGUUGUCCGGAAUUACUGGGCGUAAAGCGUGCGCAGGCGGCUUCUUAGGCAUGACGUGAAAGCCCCGGGCUCAACCCCGGGAGGGUCGUCGUGAACCGGGGGGCUUGAGGCCGGUAGAGGUGGGUGGAACGUCCUGGUGGAGUGGUGAAAUGCGUAGAGAUCAGGAAGAACACCCGUGGCGAAAGGCGGCCCCACUGGGC